rnacentral:rRNA from 1 species
GACGAACGCUGGCGGCGUGCUUAACACAUGCAAGUCGAACGGAAAGGCCCUGCUUUUGUGGGGUGCUCGAGUGGCGAACGGGUGAGUAACACGUGAGUAACCUGCCCUUGACUUUGGGAUAACUUCAGGAAACUGGGGCUAAUACCGGAUAGGAGCUCCUGCUGCAUGGUGGGGGUUGGAAAGUUUCGGCGGUUGGGGAUGGACUCGCGGCUUAUCAGCUUGUUGGUGGGGUAGUGGCUUACCAAGGCUUUGACGGGUAGCCGGCCUGAGAGGGUGACCGGCAGGUUGGUGCGUGAGCUCGUGACAAGCCGCGCUCAGGAGGCAUGAGAGUGUACUAGUGCACAGUCGGCCGGAGCCGGCUCCAGCGGCGCCGCGUGCGGGCGGGCGGCCGUCGUGUGUUUAGCUGCUCUCGUGGCGGCGGAAGCGUGUGUGACGGCAAUGGCAACAUACGCACCGGCUAAUUACGUGCAGGCAGUCGCGGUACUGAUCGACUACCCUACGUCUCCUC